rnacentral:lncRNA from 1 species
UCUCUUCCUGCUUUUGCUAUCUUGCUGGCGCAUCUGCUCACGCACGCUGCUGAUGCAAGCGGCCUUGCGCCCUGGGGCUGGGCCUGAGAAGGGAGGAGUUGCUCAACCCCUUAAGCUUUCAGGCCCUGGAGAGAAUCUUACAAUAUCAGAAGUGGGAUUCACAUAGCGCUUCCCGUGACCCUCCAGGAAUAUCAAGUGACCCAGCAAGACCUGACACCUAAUGAAUGUGUGAAUAGAAAACACCUAGAUGCUCAGAAGAAUGGGUAGUGAAAUAUUCGUAUUCAUAUACCAAUCAGAGAGUUUUGGCUGAUCACAGGCUGCCAACUGUUCAAACCACAUUCAAAUAAGGGCUGUGACCGUCUACGACAAGCUGGCAUCUUUCUUUAAAGAGGCACCUCUGGACCUGCAGCACCGGCUCCUCAUGAAGCUCAGAACCUGAGGACCCAGCCAUGGAGCGGUCAGCCUUCAUGGAGCAGGAUGCUGGGAGCGGGCUGGUGAUGCGUCUCCAUGAGCGGCCAGCCCUGCUGGUCAGCAGCACACCUGGACAGAGUUUGAACAACUGACUCUUCACGGACGCAACCUUCCUUCUCUUGUCUGUGUGAUAACAGGCAAAGGGCCUCUGAGGGAGUAUUACAGCCGCCUCAUCCACCAGAAGCAUUUCCAGCACAUCCAGGUCUGCACCCACUGGCUGGAGGGCCGAGGACUACCCCCGCUUCUAGUUCCCCUUCUCUAUAGUCACCCUGCUCGUCUUCCAUCAACUGGGUG